rnacentral:SRP_RNA from 1 species
GCCAGGCGUGGUGGCGCAUGCCUGUAAUCCCAGCUACUUGGGAGGCUGAGGCUGGAGAAUCACUUGAACCCGGGAGGCGGAGGCUGCAGUGAACUGAGAUGGCGCCACUGCACUCCAGCCUGGGCGACAGAGUGAGACUCCGUCUCAA